CCAAGCCACGCCGUGCCGUCCUGACCGUUUUCAUAUCCGCUGUACAACCGGUCGAUUCGAGGACGACACUAGAUAACCUCUUGCCGAUAUUAUCGCCAGCCCCCUUUUGUUUACAUCCACCGGUAUACUUGAAAGUGAAUGUAUAGCUUUCCAGCACGUGCGAAGAUUCCGUUUUGUCCACGAAAACGGUCAUCUGCACCGCUUCCAGGAAGCUCUUCUCAAUGGCGUCGAAUAUCCCGUGUUCCUAGACACACAAAAUAGUUAAGCAGCAGAUAGAAAGCAUAAGAGCCAAAGAAAAACGCA
rnacentral:sRNA from 2 species